CAGUGGCGGCGCCAGCCUUUUAAAAGUGGGGGGGAUUUUCGAGCGGUGAAGGCGCGAGACACUUCUAGGGGGAUCCGGGGGCAUGCCCCCCCGGAAAAUUUUUGAAAUCUAGAGUCCCUGAAAUACGAUUUCCUGCAUUUUCAGGGUGAGAUUCAGAAUUCCGAAAAUUAUAAAGUAAACAAAACACACGAUUUUUUCAUGA